AGAGUUUGAUCCUGGCUCAGAACGAACGCUGGCGGCGUGCCUAACACAUGCAAGUCGAGCGCGAAGGGGGCUUCGGCCCCUGGAGAGCGGCAGACGGGUGAGUAACACGUGGGUAACCUGUCCUUGGGUGGGGGAUAACUACUCGAAAGGGUGGCUAAUACCGCAUAAGACCACGGCCUUGCGGGGCUGCGGUCAAAGGUGCAAAUCGCCUGAGGAGGGGCCCGCGGCCGAUUAGCUAGUUGGCGGGGUAAUGGCUCACCAGGGCGACGAUCGGUAGCUGGUCUGAGAGGAUGAUCAGCCACACUGGUACUGAGACACGGACCAGACUCCUACGGGAGGCAGCAGUGGGGAAUAUUGCGCAAUGGGCGAAAGCCUGACGCAGCAACGCCGCGUGGGUGAUGAAGGCCUUCGGGUCGUAAAGCCCUGUCAGAUGGGACGAACCACCCCGCAAGGGGCCUGACGGUACCAUCGAAGGAAGCACCGGCUAACUCCGUGCCAGCAGCCGCGGUAAUACGGAGGGUGCAAGCGUUGUUCGGAAUCACUGGGCGUAAAGGGCGCGUAGGCGGCUUCAAUAGUCCGAUGUGAAAGCCCGGGGCUCAACCCCGGAAGUGCAUUGGAAACUGUGAGGCUUGAGUUCGGGAGAGGAAGGCAGAAUUCCCGGUGUAGGGUUGAAAUCCGUAGAUAUCGGGAGGAAAACCGGUGGCGAAGGCGGCCUUCUGGAACGAAACUGACGCUGAGGCGCGAAAGCGUGGGGAGCAAACAGGAUUAGAGACCCUGGUAGUCCACGCUGUAAACGAUGGAUGCUGGGUGUGGGUGACAAUACGGUCAUCCGUGCCGAAGCUAACGCAUUAAGCAUCCCGCCUGGGGAGUACGGUCGCAAGACUAAAACUCAAAGGAAUUGACGGGGGCCUGCACAAGCGGUGGAGUAUGUGGUUUAAUUCGACACAACGCGCAGAACCUUACCUGGGUUUGACAUGUCGCGACAGCCUUGGAAACAGGGUUUCCCCUUCGGGGGCGCGAACACAGGUGCUGCAUGGCUGUCGUCAGCUCGUGUCGUGAGAUGUUGGGUUAAGUCCCGCAACGAGCGCAACCCCUGUCCCAUGUUGCCAUCGGGUAAAGCCGGGCACUCUUGGGAGACCGCCGGUGUCAAACCGGAGGAAGGUGGGGAUGACGUCAAGUCUUCAUGGCCCUUAUGCCCAGGGCUACACACGUACUACAAUGGCCGGUACAAAGAGCUGCGAACCCGCGAGGGGGAGCCAACCUCAAAAAGCCGGUCUCAGUUCGGAUUGGAGUCUGCAACUCGACUCCAUGAAGGCGGAAUCGCUAGUAAUCGCGGAUCAGCACGCCGCGGUGAAUCCGUUCCCGGGCCUUGUACACACCGCCCGUCACACCAUGAGAGUCGCUUGUACCAGAAGUGCGUGGGCCAACCCGCAAGGGAGGCAGCGUACCAAGGUAUGGGUGGUGAUUGGGGUGAAGUCGUAACAAGGUA
rnacentral:rRNA from 1 species